UCAGAUUGAACGCUGGCGGCAGGCCUAACACAUGCAAGUCGAGCGGUAACAUUUCUAGCUUGCUAGAAGAUGACGAGCGGCGGACGGGUGAGUAAUACUUGGGGAUCUGCCUGAUGGCGGGGGACAACCACUGGAAACGGUGGCUAAUACCGCAUAAUGCCUACGGGCCAAAGUGUGGGACCUUCGGGCCACAUGCCAUCAGAUGAACCCAAGCGAGAUUAGCUAGUUGGUGAGGUAACGGCUCACCAAGGCGACGAUCUCUAGCUGGUCUGAGAGGAUGAUCAGCCACACUGGGACUGAGACACGGCCCAGACUCCUACGGGAGGCAGCAGUGGGGAAUAUUGGACAAUGGGCGCAAGCCUGAUCCAGCCAUGCCGCGUGUGUGAAGAAGGCCUUCGGGUUGUAAAGCACUUUCAGUGGUGAGGAAGGCGUUGUAGUUAAUAGCUGCAACGAUUGACGUUAGCCACAGAAGAAGCACCGGCUAACUCCGUGCCAGCAGCCGCGGUAAUACGGAGGGUGCGAGCGUUAAUCGGAAUUACUGGGCGUAAAGCGCACGUAGGCGGUUUGUUAAGCAAGAUGUGAAAGCCCAGGGCUCAACCUUGGAAUUGCAUUUUGAACUGGCAAGCUAGAGUUUUGAAGAGGGUGGUAGAAUUUCCAGU
rnacentral:rRNA from 1 species